GUGACGUGCUGACGCCAUUCUCGCUUCACGCUCUCAGUCUCCACCCUCUGUGCACAAAGGAUGGGAGAGUCGAACGUCAUUAUCUGUUGUGAAAUUCCUUAGGUUUCAGGCUACGAUAUGCGUCCUGAAACAGUUUGAAUCCAACGACUGUUAGUUGCCAGAGUUGACAGAGGAAAAUGAUUUAUGAUGGUUUAUGAUUGACCUGUUGAAUGGCAACCUGUUGAAUGUUUUUACUCCAGUUCCAGCACAAUAAUGCUUCAAGUGUUUUGAUUCCUAGAGAAAUGGGAGGGCCAAGUAAACAAAUACCAUGUCGCUCAUUUAGUCAAAGGAAGCACACUGUUUCUGUUUUUGAGCUUUGGUGAGGACAGCUACAGGGGGAUCCCCUCCGUGCACACUGCUGUAACCUACUUGAAAUGAGGUAUAUGCACGCUCUGCAAAAAUGAAAUAUUAGUAGGGCUUAAAAACAUGCAAUUUACUUGGAAUUAUAUCUGCACCUGUUACACAGAAUCACAAAAAGUAAAUCUUGAGUUGAGAGUGUUUUUUUGUGAACUUUGUGACUUGAAGACACUGGGCUAGAACAGCAGUGCACUCUGGUGGUCAUUUGUAUGCACUGCAAUUUCAAAUAAUAAUAAUAACAACAAAACAAUACUACCAAUAAUAAUGAAUCAUAAUCAUAAUAUUAAUAAUCAUUUCAAAUGUUUACAUGCACACAAACACACCCACAUACAUUGUUACGUUUAUGCAGUGCAGAACACAUUUAACUCUCAAUGUUUUCCCUGAUAUAGACCUAAGUAUGAAUUUGAAAAAAAAAACACAUGGGCUGUCUUGGAACAUUAAUACACCCCCCACCAUGGCAAUUCACUAUCUGCCUUAUGGAAAAAUACCAAAUAUUCUCAGUACAAUGAAAUGUUUGUGUGAAGCUAGACAAGGGAUGGACAACGAAUUCCUGUAACCAACAGUUCACUGUUUUGUAACACUAGAUGGCAGUAGACUCAAAUUAAACAUUUUGGAAGAGCAUUGGUCUGCUUUUGGAGCAAUGUGUAGCAAGCAGUGUGUUUUAGACUGCCAGUACUAACUACAUCACAAUACCAGCUUUAUUUAAAUCUUAUUUUAUAAAUGUAAGAAAAUAUUUUCUACCACAAAAAUAUGUCAACCAGGGGUAAAAUGUGAAGGAUUUUCAUUGACAAAAUAAACGUGAUUCAUUUUAAAGGUAAUCAAAAAUCCAAAUGCAGGUUGCAAGACAAUGAAGUAAUUUAAACACCUGCUGUGUCUGACAGACUAAAUUCAAAGACUGGAUGUGUGAGUGCUCACAGUGCCUCCCACUUCCCACAUCACGAUAUUAAAACCUCCAUCUCAUUUCAAGGCAAUAUUUUUUUGAACAACACAGGUGCUGUUCCUCUUGAUAAGAAACACAAUUUAAUUGCUGUGAUUGUUUUGUCAUUUUAAAAGUUUUGAUCAGAUUUUUGUGGACUUUAAUAGGCAGACGAAAUGAUAGAUGCACCAACGAACAAUCCCACCCCCCCAAGAUAAGCCCCCUCACUGGGAAUAGAAUGUUAUCAGUGGGAGCCCAACUUGUGCAUUCAGAUGUUUUAUGCUAUUUUUUUGUGAGUGUGUGUUAUAUCAUCAUUAGAUAUGUUU